rnacentral:rRNA from 1 species
GACGAACGCUGGCGGCGUGCUUAACACAUGCAAGUCGAACGAGACGAUUGAAAGCUUGCUUUUGAAAGUCGAGUGGCAAACGGGUGAGUAACGCGUAGACAACCUGCCUUUGAGAUGGGGACAACAGUUCGAAAGGACUGCUAAUACCGAAUGUUGUAUAUUUUCCACAUGGAAGAUAUAUUAAAGAUGGCCUCUAUUUAUAAGCUAUCGCUCAAAGAUGGGUCUGCGUCUGAUUAGCUGGUUGGUGGGGUAACGGCCUACCAAGGCGACGAUCAAUAGCCGGUCUGAGAGGAUGAACGGCCACAUUGGGACUGAGACACGGCCCAGACUCCUACGGGAGGCAGCAGUGGGGAAUCUUCCACAAUGGACGAGAGUCUGAUGGAGCAACGCCGCGUGAGUGAAGAAGGGUUUCGGCUCGUAAAGCUCUGUUGUCGGGGACGAAUGUGCAGUAUUUGAAUAAAGUACUGCAAUGACGGUACCUGACGAGGAAGCCACGGCUAACUACGUGCCAGCCGCCGCCGUAA